rnacentral:rRNA from 1 species
CCUACGGGAGGCAGCAGUGGGGAAUAUUGCACAAUGGGGGGAACCCUGAUGCAGCAACGCCGCGUGAAGGAAGACGGUUUUCGGAUUGUAAACUUCUAUCAAUAGGGAAGAAAGAAAUGACGGUACCUAAAUAAGAAGCCCCGGCUAACUACGUGCCAGCAGCCGCGGUAAUACGUAGGGGGCAAGCGUUAUCCGGAAUUACUGGGUGUAAAGGCCGUGUAGCCGGGCUGACAAGUCAGAUGUGAAAUUCCGGGGCUCAACCCCGGACCUGCAUUUGAAACUGUGGGUCUUGAGUAUCGGAGAGGCAGGCGGAAUUCCUAGUGUAGCGGUGAAAUGCGUAGAUAUUAGGAGGAACACCAGUGGCGAAGGCAGCCUGCUGGACGACAACUGACGGUGAGGCGCGAAAGCGUGGGGAGCAAACAGGAUUAGAUACCCGUGUAGUC